GUGACGUCAUCGCGAGGCGCCGCUCUCUCAGCCAUGGCCGCCGCAGCAGCAGGCUCCUGCUCCGAGCAUCCAGAGGGAUUCGGGAAGCCGCCGGGAAGAAGGAGGUGCAUCCAAGGGGCCUAGCACCGUAAUUAGCCCAGUUUUGGUUAAUUGAGGCUACCAAGGCCUCAGCCCCUCGUCUCCCAGGGCUGGGAUUCCCCGGGAAUGCCGUGAGUGAGGCACGGAGCUCCAUCCUGGCAGGAGUUACUGUCCACAGCGCUGCCCAGGUUCCCUGUGAGGUGCUCCGCAUGGAUUGAGGAAGCGGGUGCAAGGCUGUUGUGGCCCUAAUUAACGCCGUAAUUAACGCCGCUGUGGUUACGGAGCAGCAGGAGGUGCAUGCUGGGUGUCACCUGCCCUUCCUGGCCGUGCCCGUGUCCCUCAGGGACGUGUCCAGGGGCUGGAGCAGUGGCAGGCUCCCUGUGGGAGAGCCGGGAGGAGUCGGCGACGCCGGAGUCGGAAUUAAACACGAGCCCGUGCUUCGAACGCG